rnacentral:rRNA from 1 species
AUUGAACGCUGGCGGCAGGCCUAACACAUGCAAGUCGAGCGAGCGGCGGACGGGUGAGUAAUGUAUGGGGACUGCCCGAUAGAGGGGUAUAAUUACUGGAAACGUUGGCUAAUACCGCAUACUAUCUGAUAACCCAUAUGGGAUUAGAUAGUAGGUGGGGUAAAGGCUCACCUAGGCGACGAUCUCUAGCUGGUCUGAGAGGAUGAUAAGCCACACGUGGACGGAGACACUGCCCAGACUCCUACGGAGGCAGCAGUGGGGAAUAUUGCACAAUGGGCGAAAGCCUGAUGCAGCGACGCCGCGUGGGGGAUGAAGGCUUUCGGGUUGUAAACAUCUUUCGCUAUCGAACGGGUAGGUGGAGAAGAAGCGACGGCUAACUACGUGCCAGCAGCCGCGGUAAUUC